UGGGUAUAUAGGGCACCUGUUACCUGCCGUAAUUCGUGCAGGAUUAAGUUUGUGAGUAUUAGUGGUCAGUAUUCUAUGCUGUUUAUUGUUUUCGCAUUGACGUAUGUGUCGGAACUGUGGUUGUUCCUCCAUGUACUGACAUCCCUGCUCUCCUGCGCCUGACUCCUACACCUCUCACCGAGACGCACUUUAUCACACAACUACGUAAACUGGUUUGAUGAGGCCUUCACUUUUGAUGUCCCACCAAAUUCCUACCUCAUUGCAGUUGAAAGCUUCCAUGAAAACAAGCAUGAAGAUCUUCGCUGGAAAUACCAAUACUGGGCCGAAAGGUCAUGCUGAAUCUAUAACUGAUUCUACCUACAAUCAGAUUAUUUUAUCCGUUGUUGCCUUUUGAUAAUCUUGAAAGAAAUUCAUGAUUAAAGAUACUUGCAUCUAA